rnacentral:rRNA from 1 species
GAUGAACGCUGGCGGCGUGCCUAAUACAUGCAAGUCGAGCGAACGGACGAGAAGCUUGCUUCUCUGAUGUUAGCGGCGGACGGGUGAGUAACACGUGGAUAACCUACCUAUAAGAGUGGGAUAACUUCGGGAAACCGGAGCUAAUACCGGAUAAUAUUUUGAACCGCAUGGUUCAAAAGUGAAAGACGGUCUUGCUGUCACUUAUAGAUGGAUCCGCGCUGCAUUAGCUAGUUGGUAAGGUAACGGCUUACCAAGGCAACGAUGCAUAGCCGACCUGAGAGGGUGAUCGGCCACACUGGAACUGAGACACGGUCCAGACUCCUACGGGAGGCAGCAGUAGGGAAUCUUCCGCAAUGGGCGAAAGCCUGACGGAGCAACGCCGCGUGAGUGAUGAAGGUCUUCGGAUCGUAAAACUCUGUUAUUAGGGAAGAACAUAUGUGUAAGUAACUGUGCACAUCUUGACGGUACCUAAUCAGAAAGCCACGGCUAACUACGUG